rnacentral:rRNA from 1 species
UACAGAGGUCUCGAGCGUUAGGCGGAAUUACUGGGCGUAAAGCGUGCGCAGGCGGUUUUGUAAGACAGAGGUGAAAUCCCCGGGCUCAACCUGGGAACUGCCUUUGUGACUGCAAGGCUUGAGUGCGGCAGAGGGGGAUGGAAUUCCGCGUGUAGCAGUGAAAUGCGUAGAUAUGCGGAGGAACACCGAUGGCGAAGGCAAUCCCCUGGGCCUGCACUGACGCUCAUGCACGAAAGCGUGGGGAGCAAACAGG